CGGCGGACGGGUGAGUAACACGUGGGCAACCUGCCUGUAAGACUGGGAUAACUUCGGGAAACCGGAGCUAAUACCGGAUAAUCCCUUUCCUCACAUGAGGAAAGGCUGAAAGACGGUUUCGGCUGUCACUUACAGAUGGGCCCGCGGCGCAUUAGCUAGUUGGUGAGGUAACGGCUCACCAAGGCCACGAUGCGUAGCCGACCUGAGAGGGUGAUCGGCCACACUGGGACUGAGACACGGCCCAGACUCCUACGGGAGGCAGCAGUAGGGAAUCUUCCGCAAUGGACGAAAGUCUGACGGAGCAACGCCGCGUGAGUGAUGAAGGUUUUCGGAUCGUAAA
rnacentral:rRNA from 2 species